CACCUUAUCUGGCAGGGAAGAUACCAUGAUCAAGAGGGUGGGUGGCUAGGCUCAGUCAUUGCACUCUGAUUGAGCUGACUUCUGUCAAUUCCCCAAAUGUAGGAAUCUCGACUGCAUAAUUUCUGGUAGUGGGGGACUGUGUUCGCCCUCUCCUCUU